rnacentral:rRNA from 1 species
CCUACGGGGGGCAGCAGUGGGGAAUAUUGGACAAUGGGGGGAACCCUGAUCCAGCCAUGCCGCGUGUGUGAAGAAGGCCCUCGGGUUGUAAAGCACUUUCAGUGAGGAAGAACGCCUGGUGGUUAAUACCCAUCAGGAAAGACAUCACUCACAGAAGAAGCACCGGCUAACUCCGUGCCAGCAGCCGCGAUAAUACGGAGGGUGCGAGCGUUAAUCGGAAUUACUGGGCGUAAAGCGCGCGUAGGUGGCUUGAUAAGCCGGUUGUGAAAGCCCCGGGCUCAACCUGGGAACGGCAUCCGGAACUGUCAAGCUAGAGUGCAGGAGAGGAAGGUAGAAUUCCCGGUGUAGCGGUGAAAUGCGUAGAGAUCGGGAGGAAUACCAGUGGCGAAGGCGGCCUUCUGGACUGACACUGACACUGAGGUGCGAAAGCGUGGGUAGCAAACAGGAUUAGAUACCCGAGUAGUC